AAGAUCUCAGCUGAGAGUGCCACGGGAGUUCAUCUACCUCAAGGUGUUCUAUUUAAUACAGACAACAAGAGGAGGACAAGGAGGACGACUGAGGUCAUAAUGACCACAGAACAAAAAACCAGUCCUGUGUUGGAACAGCCAAUGAAGUGAUGGAUCUGAAGAGGGAUGACAAAAAGGACGGAAGAAAUGAGGAAGAGGACAUAAUCUGUCAAGCAGGAGCCCUGGAACUGCUAAAAUGACCUUCCCAUCUUCCUGCUAGAGAUUACAAGGAGCCUGGAGAGAGAGAACCAAAUCUAAUACAGACAAAAUAUCAGGGCUGGAGGAGUAUCAAGGUCAGGAACAGGCACAAAAUACUUCACAGAAGGCUUAUGUACGGUCUGAGGAAUCAGAGCUUGCUUGGGCAAUGAAACACAACUGGCAGCACAGGUUUUUUUUUACUAUGUGCAUAUAUUUAGUCAAUCAUGACUAUUCUUGCUGCUAAAUGACUUCUUAAAUAACCACAGUCGGGUGGGCAGAAAGAAACAUUAAUCUGCAAAAAACAUAAUUUCAUUGACCCCUAAGCAUGUAGACAAUACUAUUAAAUGGACAAAAUAGCACAGACCCAUUGACACCCCACCUUGUUGCUGGUAAGGUUAGGCUCCAUCACAUCCACAAUAAUUGCCAAAUGUGUGUGGCCAUGAAUCGUAUUGAACAUGUCUCCAUUAUUUUAGGAAUGGCAAAGAGUCAGUUGAGUGUUAAAAAAGUUUUACAUGCUUCUGUUAAUCAUAAAGGGUAUGACUCAUUAGAGCACAAUACCACUAUUAUAGUUAUAUCAUAACAAUACUAAACAGAAGGUUGUGCAAAGAUGAGCAUCUUUGCAGAUUCAUCUAAAGUUGUUUUACAGAAAUUCAAGUUUGCAUUGUAAUAGUGAAUGACGUUUUAAUGAACUAACAAUGGGAAAUGCUAUUUAUGCAUAUUUCACCGUUUACGACUUUUAUUACAUUUCCCUGCAAGUCUUAUUACGGAAUAUAACAGUGUACAGUGUCAUGACUUAUAACAAUCAGCUACCAAUGAGCUGUGAUUGAUCAGGCAACAUUAGACUAAUGCAAGCCAGUACCUGACGGGAUGGCAUCAAAAAGUUAGUGAAUAACACCCAGUUUAACAAUAGCAUUUAUCCUGUCAUUAUAUUUUAUAUUUAAAAAAGGGCUUAUUUGACAAUGUUCCUGAUCCAGCUGCAAAACAAUUAAGGGGCAAAAACAUUGAACUGUACACUGUAACAUAAGGGGGUUAUAUAAUAAACUCUGAAUGCAAAAAUCCCCAAAAAAUCCGGA